rnacentral:rRNA from 1 species
GGGUUGUGAGGUUAAGCGACUAAGCGUACACGGUGGAUGCCCUGGCAGUCAGAGGCGAUGAAGGACGUGCUAAUCUGCGAAAAGCGCCGGCGAGGUGAUAUGAACCUUUGACCCGGCGAUGUCCGAAUGGGGAAACCCAGUGUGAUUCGUCACACUAUCGUUAACUGAAUACAUAGGUUAACGAGGCGAACCGGGGGAACUGAAACAUCUAAGUACCCCGAGGAAAAGAAAUCAACCGAGAUUCCCCCAGUAGCGGCGAGCGAACGGGGAGCAGCCCAGAGUCUGAAUCAGCUUGUGUGUUAGUGGAAGCGUCUGGAAAGUCGCACGGUACAGGGUGACAGUCCCGUACACGAAAGCACACAGGUUGUGAACUCGAAGAGUAGGGCGGGACACGUGGUAUCCUGUCUGAAUAUGGGGGGACCAUCCUCCAAGGCUAAAUACUCCUGACUGACCGAUAGUGAACCAGUACCGUGAGGGAAAGGCGAAAAGAACCCCGGCGAGGGGAGUGAAAAAGAACCUGAAACCGUGUACGUACAAGCAGUGGGAGCACCUUCGUGGUGUGACUGCGUACCUUUUGUAUAAUGGGUCAGCGACUUAUAUUCUGUAGCAAGGUUAACCGUAUAGGGGAGCCGAAGGGAAACCGAGUCUUAACUGGGCGUUAAGUUGCAGGGUAUAGACCCGAAACCCGGUGAUCUAGCCAUGGGCAGGUUGAAGGUUGGGUAACACUAACUGGAGGACCGAACCGACUAAUGUUGAAAAAUUAGCGGAUGACUUGUGGCUGGGGGUGAAAGGCCAAUCAAACCGGGAGAUAGCUGGUUCUCCCCGAAAGCUAUUUAGGUAGCGCCUCGUGAACUCAUCUUCGGGGGUAGAGCACUGUUUCGGCUAGGGGGCCAUCCCGGCUUACCAACCCGAUGCAAACUACGAAUACCGAAGAAUGUUAUCACGGGAGACACACGGCGGGUGCUAACGUCCGUCGUGAAGAGGGAAACAACCCAGACCGCCAGCUAAGGUCCCAAAGUCAUGGUUAAGUGGGAAACGAUGUGGGAAGGCACAGACAGCCAGGAUGUUGGCUUAGAAGCAGCCAUCAUUUAAAGAAAGCGUAAUAGCUCACUGGUCGAGUCGGCCUGCGCGGAAGAUGUAACGGGGCUAAACCAUGCACCGAAGCUGCGGCAGCGACGCUUAUGCGUUGUUGGGUAGGGGAGCGUUCUGUAAGCCGUUGAAGGUGUGCUGUGAGGCAUGCUGGAGGUAUCAGAAGUGCGAAUGCUGACAUAAGUAACGAUAAAGCGGGUGAAAAGCCCGCUCGCCGGAAGACCAAGGGUUCCUGUCCAACGUUAAUCGGGGCAGGGUGAGUCGACCCCUAAGGCGAGGCCGAAAGGCGUAGUCGAUGGGAAACAGGUUAAUAUUCCUGUACUUGGUGUUACUGCGAAGGGGGGACGGAGAAGGCUAUGUUAGCCGGGCGACGGUUGUCCCGGUUUAAGCAUGUAGGCGGAGGUUCCAGGUAAAUCCGGUACCUUAUUAACGCUGAGGUGUGAUGACGAGGCACUACGGUGCUGAAGUAACAAAUGCCCUGCUUCCAGGAAAAGCCUCUAAGCAUCAGGUAACAUCAAAUCGUACCCCAAACCGACACAGGUGGUCAGGUAGAGAAUACCAAGGCGCUUGAGAGAACUCGGGUGAAGGAACUAGGCAAAAUGGUGCCGUAACUUCGGGAGAAGGCACGCUGAUAUGUAGGUGAAGCCCCUGCGGGUGGAGCUGAAAUCAGUCGAAGAUACCAGCUGGCUGCAACUGUUUAUUAAAAACACAGCACUGUGCAAACACGAAAGUGGACGUAUACGGUGUGACGCCUGCCCGGUGCCGGAAGGUUAAUUGAUGGGGUUAGCGGUAACGCGAAGCUCUUGAUCGAAGCCCCGGUAAACGGCGGCCGUAACUAUAACGGUCCUAAGGUAGCGAAAUUCCUUGUCGGGUAAGUUCCGACCUGCACGAAUGGCGUAAUGAUGGCCAGGCUGUCUCCACCCGAGACUCAGUGAAAUUGAACUCGCUGUGAAGAUGCAGUGUACCCGCGGCAAGACGGAAAGACCCCGUGAACCUUUACUAUAGCUUGACACUGAACACUGGUCCUUGAUGUGUAGGAUAGGUGGGAGGCUUUGAAGUGUGGACGCCAGUCUGCAUGGAGCCGUCCUUGAAAUACCACCCUUUAAUGGCUGGUGUUCUAACGUAGACCCGUGAUCCGGGUUGCGGACAGUGUCUGGUGGGUAGUUUGACUGGGGCGGUCUCCUCCCAAAGAGUAACGGAGGAGCACGAAGGUUAGCUAAUCCUGGUCGGACAUCAGGAGGUUAGUGCAAUGGCAUAAGCUAGCUUGACUGCGAGAGUGACGGCUCGAGCAGGUGCGAAAGCAGGUCAUAGUGAUCCGGUGGUUCUGAAUGGAAGGGCCAUCGCUCAACGGAUAAAAGGUACUCCGGGGAUAACAGGCUGAUACCGCCCAAGAGUUCAUAUCGACGGCGGUGUUUGGCACCUCGAUGUCGGCUCAUCACAUCCUGGGGCUGAAGUAGGUCCCAAGGGUAUGGCUGUUCGCCAUUUAAAGUGGUACGCGAGCUGGGUUUAGAACGUCGUGAGACAGUUCGGUCCCUAUCUGCCGUGGGCGCUGGAGAAUUGAGGGGGGCUGCUCCUAGUACGAGAGGACCGGAGUGGACGCAUCACUGGUGUUCGGGUUGUCAUGCCAAUGGCACUGCCCGGUAGCUAAAUGCGGAAAAGAUAAGUGCUGAAAGCAUCUAAGCACGAAACUUGCCCCGAGAUGAGUUCUCCCUGAGACUUUAAGUCUCCUGAAGGAACGUUGAAGACGACGACGUUGAUAGGUCGGGUGUGUAAGCGCAGCGAUGCGUUGAGCUAACCGAUACUAAUGAACCGUGAGGCUUAACCUUACAACGCCGAAG